rnacentral:pre_miRNA from 13 species
CGGGGGGGGGGGGGGGGGGGGGGAGAAAAAAAAAAAUUUUUUUUUUUUUUCCCCCCCCCCCCCCCCCCCCCCCCUUUUUAAAAA